AACGCGAAGAACCUUACCAGGGUUUGACAUCUCCGGACCGUCCAUGAAAGUGGAUUUUCCCCGCAAGGGGACUGGAAGACAGGUGUUGCAUGGUUGUCGUCAGCUCGUGUCGUGAGAUGUUGGGUUAAGUCCCGCAACGAGCGCAACCCUCACCCAAUGUUGCCAGCGUAAAGUCGGGAACUCUUUGGGAACUGCCCAUGUAAGUGGGAGGAAGGUGGGGAUGACGUCAAAUCGGCAUGGCCCUUACACCCUGGGCUUGACACAUGCUACAAUGGCCGUUAAACAGAGCGACGCAAUACCGUGAGGUGGAGCCAAUCGCAAAAAUACGGUCUCAGUUCAGAUUGCAGGCUGCAACUCGCCUGCAUGAAGUCGGAAUCGCUAGUAACCGCAGGUCAGCUAAACUGCGGUGAAUACGUUCCCGGGCCUUGUACACACCGCAUAC
rnacentral:rRNA from 1 species